rnacentral:tRNA from 1 species
UGGGGGAUCGUCUAACGGUAGGACUGCAGCCUCUGGAGCUGCGUAUCGGGGUUCAAAUCCCUGUCCCCCAGCCA